UUUUGGUUAGUCCACACCAUUAUAUCUUUAUUUAUACACAAUUUUCUAUCAAUAAUCUCAACAGCCCCAUUACGAUUGGUUGAAGCAAAUAUGGUUGUUGAUUGAAGUCAAAGAGAUUCUUGAAACAGUGUAAUCUGUUAAAGAAAUAUAAUGAACCAUUCAAAAGACAUCGGAGGAGUACUAUUUUUCUGGCGGGAGAUCGAAGAAAUCAAUUGGAGAUAGCAGGACAAGGAGCAUAUAACAGAAGAGUUCGACACAGAUCAAUUCAUUUUAAACUAUCAUUUUUCUGUGGAUGCAGGUCUAUACGUUUACCUCAGAAUCAACGUAUUCAUCCAUCCAAUGAAUAUGGAGAGGUCAAAUACAACUACAAAAGGGCACUUUAGAGGCAACAAAAUGUGUAUUUAACAAUGACAAAAAAGUAUGGAAUUAGUACAAACACUUGUACUAAGUAUGACAUUAUGCAUAAAAUCAUGAAAACAGACAUUUAU